GCCUGAGAGGGUGACCGGCCACACUGGGACUGAGACACGGCCCAGACUCCUACGGGAGGCAGCAGUGGGGAAUAUUGCACAAUGGGCGGAAGCCUGAUGCAGCGACGCCGCGUGAGGGAUGACGGCCUUCGGGUUGUAAACCUCUUUCAGUAGGGAAGAAGCGAAAGUGACGGUACCUGCAGAAGAAGCGCCGGCUAACUACGUGCCAGCAGCCGCGGUAAUACGUAGGGCGCAAGCGUUAUCCGGAUUUAUUGGGCGUAAAGAGCUCGUAGGCGGUUUGUCGCGUCUGCCGUGAAAGUCCGAGGCUCAACCUCGGAUCUGCGGUGGGUACGGGCAGACUAGAGUGAUGUAGGGGAGACUGGAAUUCCUGGUGUAGCGGUGAAAUGCGCAGAUAUCAGGAGGAACACCGAUGGCGAAGGCAGGUCUCUGGGCAUUUACUGACGCUGAGGAGCGAAAGCAUGGGGAGCGAACAGGAUUAGAUACCCUGGUAGUCCAUGCCGUAAACGUUGGGCACUAGGUGUGGGGGACAUUCCACGUUUUCCGCGCCGUAGCUAACGCAUUAAGUGCCCCGCCUGGGGA
rnacentral:rRNA from 2 species